rnacentral:rRNA from 1 species
UAAAUAACAAUGCAGAGCCCUCUGGGUUUUGCAAUUGGAAUGAGAACAAUUUAAAUCCCUUAUCGAGUAACAAUUGGAGGGCAAGUCUGGUGCCAGCAGCCGCGGUAAUUCCAGCUCCAAUAGCGUAUAUUAAAGUUGUUGCAGUUAAAAAGCUCGUAGUUGAACUUUUGGUGAGGUGCUGUGGUUUAGCAUUUGCUGGACUGCCGUGCUGAGCCUCUUUUGGGGGAAACGUCACUUGUGGCGGCGAACCCGUGUUACUGUGAGGAAAUUAGAGUGUUUAAAGCAGGCGAUCGCUUGAAUACAUUAGCAUGGAAUAACAAGAUAGGACUUGGUUCUACUUGUUGGUUUGGGAGCCAAAGUAAUGAUUAAUAGGGCCAGUUGGGGGCAUUAGUAUUCAGCAGUCAGAGGUGAAAUUCUUGGAUUUGCUGAAGACUAACUAGUGCGAAAGCAUUUGCCAAGGAUGUUUUCAUUAAUCAAGAACGAAAGUUAGGGGAUCGAAGACGAUCAGAUACCGUCGUAGUCUUAACUAUAAACGAUGCCGACUCGGGAUCGGCAGGAUUCGUUCGCGAACCUGUCGGCACCGUGUGAGAAAUCAAAGUUUUUGGGUUCUGGGGGGAGUAUGGUCGCAAGGCUGAAACUUAAAGGAAUUGACGGAAGGGCACCACCAGGAGUGGAGCCUGCGGCUUAAUUUGACUCAACACGGGAAAACUCACCAGGUCCGGACAUAGUAAGGAUUGACAGAUUGAGAGCUCUUUCUUGAUUCUGUGGGUGGUGGUGCAUGGCCGUUCUUAGUUGGUGGAGUGAUUUGUCUGGUUAAUUCCGAUAACGAACGAGACCUUAACCUGCUAACUAGAGCACAUUACGUGAGUAGUGUGUUACUUCUUAGAGGGACUGACUAUGUUUAAUAGUCGGAAGUUUGAGGCAAUAACAGGUCUGUGAUGCCCUUAGAUGUUCUGGGCUGCACGCGCGCUACACUGACAAAGGCAGCGAGUAUACCUUGACCGAGAGGUUUGGGAAAUCUUGUUAAACUUUGUCGUGCUGGGAUAGAUCAUUGCAAUUAUUGGUCUUGAACGAGGAAUUCCUAGUAAGCGCAAGUCAUCAGCAUGCGUUGAUUACGUCCCUGCCCUUUGUACACACCGCCCGUCGCUACUACCGAUUGAAUGGCUUAGUGAGGC